rnacentral:lncRNA from 1 species
UUUUGGUUUGAACAUGCAAAUCCCUUCUACUAUCUCUGGUUUCAAGCCUCCCACAAAUGUCCCUACUAGUGCCUUUUAUGUCCAACCAUGGACUCUAUUGCCAAGUCUUUCAAAUUCCUGCUGGUAGUCCCAAAGUGGGCCUACUUGGCGAAUCUUGGAGAGAGCUUCAUUAAAAUCAUGACAGCCAAUUGGUCCAAAACGUGCCCAAAGUUUCUAUUGAAAUUUCGUCCAUAGAACCUCUCAAC